AGGCGCAUAAGGAUCUCAAAACACUAUUUUUGAUGCCUAGGUGCAAAGUUGCUGACGAUUAUGGGAUUAUGAUUGUGAUUUCUGUGGGGAUCAAUACUAAAUGGGGAUUAUUGAUGGCCAGUAUAUCGGAAGGCAGUGGUGAACAAACUACAUUAUAGUCUUGCCUACUCAAUGAAGAAGAUGAUGGAAGCAAAGCAUUGAUAUGCUUCUCUUCUUAUCAAACUAGAAUCCAUACGUUCAACUAUUAGUAAGUUGCUACGUUACAGUUUCGAAGGCUAUCAGCUUGUGAAACGAUUGGAUCUACCACUACCAUCUGCAACGAUAAAACUGGAACUUUAACAUUG